GUGUGCCCGCCAGUGUGUGUCUCGCUUCAGUUUCAAAUUCAAAUCCGAAAAUGAAGCAGUUCGCAUUGUUUGGCAUACUUUUGCUCAUCCUGGCCCUGGGACUGUCUGAGUGGCCCCAGCAGGUGUCUGCCGUGGCCCUGGCCCAGCCCCAGAAGGGCCCGAAAGCCCCUCCGAGUGGUGGAAGCGGCAAUCAGCAAAGUGGACAAGGCCAAAACGGUCAAAACGGUCAAAACGGGCAAGGCGGUCAAAACAAUAAGUAGACUGUGAAUGCUGUAGUUUGAAAGGAUAUCAAUCUACUGUAAUGCAUUGCAAUUGUUCCAUUUAAUAAAUAUUUUCACCUGCAAAAAUACAGCUUGCCAAUGGUUUUCGAAUAUACUCGAAAAAUAUUGUAUGGGCUCCAAGGUAUGUCGUGCACCA
rnacentral:misc_RNA from 1 species